GACGAACGCUGGCGGCGUGCCUAAUACAUGCAAGUCGAACGCAGUUGCGAACGGGUGAGUAACGCGUAGGUAACUGCCUCCUAGCGGGGGAUAACUAUUGGAAACGAUAGCUAAUACCGCAUACUAUGCGAUAGACCUGCGUUGGAUUAGCUAGUUGGUGAGGUAAAGGCUCACCAAGGCGACGAUACUUAGCCGACCUGAGAGGGGGAUCGGCCACAUGGGGACUGAGACACGGCCCAGACUCCUACGGGAGGCAGCAGGAGGGAAUCUUCGGCAAUGGACGAAAGCCUGACCGAGCAACGCCGCGUGAGGGAAGAAGGUUUUCGGAUCGUAAAACUCUGUUGUUAGAGAAGCGGUAUCUAACCAGAAAGCAACGGCUAACUACGUGCCAGCCGCCGCGGUAAUUC
rnacentral:rRNA from 1 species